UACGGAGGGGACUAGCGUUGUUCGGAAUUACUGGGCGUAGAGCGCACGUAGGCGGAUUUGUAAGUCAGGGGUGAAAUCCCAGAGCUCAACUCUGGAACUGCCUUUGAUACUGGCGACCUAGAGUUCGGAAGAGGUUAGUGGAAUUCCCAGUGUAGAGGUGAAAUUCGUAGAUAUUGGGAAGAACACCAGUGGCGAAGGCGGCUAACUGGUCCGAUACUGACGCUGAGGUGCGAAAGCGUGGGGAGCAAACAGG
rnacentral:rRNA from 1 species